rnacentral:rRNA from 1 species
UACAGAGGGGGCAAGCGUUGUUCGGAAUUACUGGGCGUAAAGGGCGCGUAGGCGGCCUUCUAAGUCGAACGUGAAAUCCCCGGGCUCAACCCGGGAACUGCGUCCGAUACUGGAAGGCUUGAAUCCGGGAGAGGGAUGCGGAAUUCCAGGUGUAGCGGUGAAAUGCGUAGAUAUCUGGGGGAACACCGGUGGCGAAGGCGGCAUCCUGGACCGGCAUUGACGCUGAGGCGCGAAAGCCAGGGGAGCAAACGGG